ACCUGCCAUCUCAUACAUGAGCCUCAAGAUUAAUCAGGGAUUAAUGUCUUAUAUAGAUCUAUACCCAUCCAUAAUCCAACAGUUUUUUUUUCUUCUGUUGCGGGCUAUUUUGCUAGUUAAAGGAAAAAGCAACUGGACGGGUAGAUCACGCCGGGCGUGCAUGGGCAUGCCUGGAUGCUUCCGGUUGAAACAAGCAUGCCUGCCGACAUGGGAAUGAUGAAAAGACGGAAAGCUUAAUAGCUGCUGGUGGCACGCGUCGCCUUACUUGAUUCUCCUUGGACGGGGGGUACUUAACCGACGAUACUUCCAGCGCAAACCAUUCUCCCGGAUUGAUUCCUUGGCUUUCCCCGCCCCUCCCCUCCCCUCCCUUCCAUAAUCCCUCCAUUUAACCCCCUCCGUUUGCUUCGCUCUGCCUGCCUCAUCCUCGUGCUUAAGCUUCUCGCCAUCAGCUGGGAGAGAUAUCUUGAGCAGAGCAGCAGGAGGAGCCACAGCUUCAGCCUUCAGGUCGCGCGUCAGAGCACCAGCAGCCGGCAAGAUGCAGAUGGUACUGAUAAUCUCGCUGCCCCUCGUGGCGCUGGUGGUGAUCAUCGCCAUCAUCCUUUGCAUCGUCUGCCGUUAACCAGCCAGCCAGCUCGCCUCGCCGGAUGUUGCGUAUCAUGUAGCCUCGUAGUAGUAGUGUUGUUGCUGCGUCUGUCUCAUACUGUCAUCGUGUAUUUUGUCUGCAGCUCUUGCUCGGUGUGAUCGCUAUCCCCUUUUCUCCUACUAGCUUCUCGACAUGAAAUGUACUAUUGAGUAUUGAUUGAUCCAUGUGUCUGUUCGUGUGUGUGCGGGUGUCAGUACAGUGCAUACUGCCGUGUAAUGUAAGCUCUUGACUUUGUCGCAAAAAAAGGAAGCUCCUGAAGAAUUCUUCAGAUA